UAGAUCACGCAUCGACGCGGACGCGGAAAAGUGAUCGCGGGCACGAACGUAUUCCGAGAAGAGAAGAUCGCGACGGAACGGCGGAAGACCCGGUAGGCCCCAGGGCGGCACGGGGUCCGAAGAUACGGAGAAGCCGGAGGUUCUGAAAAGCAUACGAGAUGGAGAAGAAACAUUCCCCGUCCGGUUGCCUUGCGUAACCAUCGCACGAAGUGUCGGGGCAAGGGAGAAACGAGGGUCUCCACUUCCGGAUGCGCGUGGACGACUCCGCGGUCCUUCGGGUUACGAAGAGAGACCGUCGACGUCGCGCUAACUGAACCGAACAGAAGGUCAAGGGUAUGCCGGCGUUUAGGGCAUGCGGCAUUCGAGAGGGGGCACGGAAUGUUGACCGGGUGACGAAACGACGUCCUCCGCUUGUUUAAUUCUGCUUAAUUCGGUCGCUUACAAAAGACACGCGGCGUGUCGUUAGACUCUGCUCGGAUACCUCGCAUAACGAUAACCGUAAGCAUAGUGAUGAGAGCUGGCCAAUCGGGCUGUUUGACACCAAAUAAUAUUAAAUUUUCUGUAAUUGCAUUGACCGAUUAUUACGAUUAUCGUUGCGACAUCGUUAUCGCGAGGCACACGCGGCGAAGGCCUUUACUCCCGGUAGGAACAUCGCCAAGCUACUCGAGAUGCGUGGAGUCGAAGUUCGACGAGAGUUUGAAGAGGCUCUCUUCCGAUUGCAUUUGAAUUCUUGGAGGAGCCAGGCAAAACUCGACCGGCGGAUUCGAAGUACCGACGCAAUGGUAACGACCGCAACGCCGAGAUCACGGGGUCACUGCCACGAGAUAGAAGUCGCAGGACCGCGAAAUCGUCGACAAGGUCGCGCUCCUAAGCUCUGAUAGCGGCACGAAGAGUGACGACACGUGGGUGCUCGUCGUGUGCUGCAGUGUCGUGUCCAUCGGACGAAUCGCCCCGGGUCGUUCGAUCGUCGAGUGAGUUUCUUGGAAAACGCGAACCGCCGCUGAUCGAGCAGCAACCGAGCUUCGGUCGAUCGUCGCACGACACCUGCUGGUCCAAAACGGAGUCGUGAAAGAACUUCAAAACCAGUUGAUAGAUUAGCGGAUUAACGAUUCACAGCCCCUUCGUCGAUUAGUGCCGUAGGUAAUGUCGUUCCGCUUCGGGCGCCCGUACAUCCAAAAAUUGCCCCUCCGACGGAGAAUUACAACCGUUCAAUGGAUCGAUAGAAAAGUGCUCACCGAUCGUACGCGAAAGACUAAGUUUCAAAGGAAGAUCGAAACGGAAAGGAAACUUGUAACCAUAAGUGCAUUUUUACAUAUUUACGAGUAAGUUUUGAAUCGGUGUUCUCACAACGCAUGCUUCGAUGCCGAUCCGGGAUCCUGACAUGCCCCGACCAAUCGAUUCUGGAUAGGAGAGGCGCGAAUCCGGUCAUUGACGAGAAGUACCGAAUGGUCGAUCGCGCUAGCGCGGAUGCGACUAGCGCUAGCACGUCCGGUCAAGAGAAAGAGAAAACGAGAGAAACAUUCGACCGAGCGCGAAAGAACCAGAGCGGAUCUCGACCGAAUGGCUCGGAUCGAGAGUCAGAGUGGAGUGACCCGGGGAUUAGUUGGACGGGUGUAGGGGGUCACGUGGUCAUAACUCUGUCAACGCUCUUUAACCGUUUACGAUAGUGGUUAGGUUUCAAGUGGCUCGUUCCUCCUCUGUUUUUACCGGGCUUGGGCCGCACACCGCUCUCGCGAAGUCGCGAGUCUUGCGCAGCGUCGACAUUGCGAGCGACGCUCCGCUUACGCGCAGGGUAGGGUUUAAAGAAAUCGGGGGCACGUUUUCGAAAUUUCCAAACGAAGUCGUCGAAUGUCCGCUAACCGAGCCAAAGCUCUUUACUCGUUGCGCCUUCGCUACAGGUGAGACCCGCCUUCUGGUCUUCACCGUGCAGGAAACAGGACUUUGGUGCCUGGUCGGAUAAACGCGUGGCCACAUUCGUUUGCCAGUAAUUUGUAAUCUUUGGAUAUCCUUGUGGAUUGGACAGCUGUAAGGUUUUAGGUAUCGUUCUCCAGGUUAGAUGAGAAACAUUUAUAAAUAUAAGUGUAAUAAAUAUAAUUAAAAUUA
rnacentral:lncRNA from 1 species